rnacentral:rRNA from 1 species
CAGCAGCCACGGUAAUACGAAGGGGGCUAGCGUUGCUCGGAAUGACUGGGCGUAAAGGGCGCGUAGGCGGCGGCCAAAGUCAGGCGUGAAAUUCCCGGGCUCAACCUGGGGGCUGCGUUUGAUACUUGGUUGCUUGAGUGGGGAAGAGGGUCGUGGAAUUCCCAGUGUAGAGGUGAAAUUCGUAGAUAUUGGGAAGAACACCGGUGGCGAAGGCGGCGACCUGGUCCUUGACUGACGCUGAGGCGCGAAAGCGUGGGGAGCAAACAGGAUUAGAUACCCCAGUAGUCCCUGUCUCUUAUAA